rnacentral:rRNA from 1 species
UGAGGAAUAUUGGACAAUGGGUGAGAGCCUGAUCCAGCCAUCCCGCGUGAAGGACGACGGCCCUAUGGGUUGUAAACUUCUUUUGUACAGGGAUAAACCUUUCCACGUGUGGAAAGCUGAAGGUACUGUACGAAUAAGCACCGGCUAACUCCGUGCCAGCAGCCGCGGUAAUACGGAGGGUGCAAGCGUUAUCCGGAUUUAUUGGGUUUAAAGGGUCCGUAGGCGGAUCUGUAAGUCAGUGGUGAAAUCUCAUAGCUUAACUAUGAAACUGCCAUUGAUACUGCAGGUCUUGAGUAAGGUAGAAGUAGCUGGAAUAAGUAGUGUAGCGGUGAAAUGCAUAGAUAUUACUUAGAACACCAAUUGCGAAGGCAGGUUACUAUGUCUUAACUGACGCUGAUGGACGAAAGCGUGGGGAGCGAACAGG